CGCGGCCUAUCAGCUUGUUGGUGAGGUAAUGGCUCACCAAGGCGACGACGGGUAGCCGGCCUGAGAGGGCGACCGGCCACACUGGGACUGAGACACGGCCCAGACUCCUACGGGAGGCAGCAGUGGGGAAUAUUGCACAAUGGGCGAAAGCCUGAUGCAGCGACGCCGCGUGAGGGAUGACGGCCUUCGGGUUGUAAAUCUCUUUCAGCAGGGAAGAAGCGAAAGUGACGGUACCUGCAGAAGAAGCGCCGGCUAACUACGUGCCAGCAGCCGCGGUAAUACGUAGGGCGCAAGCGUUGUCCGGAAUUAUUGGGCGUAAAGAGCUCGUAGGCGGCUUGUCACGUCGGGUGUGAAAGCCCGGGGCUUAACCCCGGGUCUGCAUUCGAUACGGGCUAGCUAGAGUGUGGUAGGGGAGAUCGGAAUUCCUGGUGUAGCGGUGAAAUGCGCAGAUAUCAGGAGGAACACCGGUGGCGAAGGCGGAUCUCUGGGCCAUUACUGACGCUGAGGAGCGAAAGCGUGGGGAGCGAACAGGAUUAGAUACCCUGGUAGUCCACGCCGUAAACGGUGGGAACUAGGUGUUGGCGACAUUCCACGUCGUCGGUGCCGCAGCUAACGCAUUAAGUUCCCCGCCUGGGGAGUACGG
rnacentral:rRNA from 1 species